rnacentral:rRNA from 1 species
CAGUCGCCGCGGUAAUACGAAGGGGGCUAGCGUUGCUCGGAUUUACUGGGCGUAAAGGGCGCGUAGGCGGGCGAAUAAGUCAGGGGUGAAAUCCCAAGGCUCAACCUUGGAACUGCCUUUGAUACUGUUUGUCUUGAGUUCGAGAGAGGUAAGUGGAACUGCGAGUGUAGAGGUGAAAUUCGUAGAUAUUCGCAAGAACACCAGUGGCGAAGGCGGCUUACUGGCUCGAUACUGACGCUGAGGCGCGAAAGUGUGGGGAGCAAACAGGAUUAGAUACCUCUGUAGUCCCUGUCUCUUAUAC